GGGUACAGCUCAAGUGGUAGAGCACAUGCUUAGCAUGCAUGAGGUCCUGAGUUAAAUUCCCAGUAUCUCCA
rnacentral:tRNA from 1 species